UGCGCAGGCGACAGCUCAUGGCGUUCAGGGCCUGACGGUUGCUAGGGUGACAGGGACACAACAUGGCGGCGGGAUCUCUAACGCUCUCCUUCGAGGGACCACCACGGAGAUCCUAGUGCGGGACCCCGCCUCAGGGAAGUGGAAAGCAGGGGGACAACCUUCCUGCUUCUUUCUUUUCCGUCCAGUGUCGGCAAGGGGUUGUCACCGGCUUCCGCAUCCAAGAUGAAGAACUAUAAAGCAAUUGGCAAAAUAGGAGAGGGAACGUUUUCUGAAGUUAUGAAGAUGCAAAGCCUGAGAGAUGGAAACUACUAUGCAUGUAAACAAAUGAAGCAGCGCUUUGAAAGUGACAGAAAAUCUGGUUCUCUUGCACUAAUAUGUGAACUUAUGGACAUGAAUAUUUAUGAGCUAAUACGAGGGAGAAGAUACCCAUUAUCAGAAAAAAAAAUUAUGCACUAUAUGUACCAGUUAUGUAAGUCCCUGGAUCAUAUUCACAGAAAUGGAAUAUUUCACAGAGAUGUAAAACCAGAAAAUAUACUAAUAAAGGUUGUAAAAAAUGGUUUAUUUAAUAAAUGCCAUCAACAUAACUGACUGCACCUGGAAGAAAAUAAUUGAAAGCACCAUUUUCACACCGCAGACAAAAAUGAACCCU
rnacentral:lncRNA from 1 species